UACGUAGGGUGCGAGCGUUACUCGGAAUUACUGGGCGUAAAGCGUGCGCAGGCGGUUUUGUAAGCCAGAUGUGAAAUCCCCGGGCUUAACCUGGGAAUGGCAUUUGGGACUGCAAGGCUGGAGUGCGGCAGAGGAGACUGGAAUUCCUGGUGUAGCAGUGAAAUGCGUAGAUAUCAGGAGGAACACCGAUGGCGAAGGCGGCCCCCUGGACCGGUACUGACGCUGAGGCGCGAAAGCGUGGGUAGCAAACGGG
rnacentral:rRNA from 1 species